rnacentral:rRNA from 1 species
GACGAACGCUGGCGGCGUGCCUAAUACAUGCAAGUAGAACGCUGAAGGAGGAGCUUGCUUCUCUGGAUGAGUUGCGAACGGGUGAGUAACGCGUAGGUAACCUGCCUGGUAGCGGGGGAUAACUAUUGGAAACGAUAGCUAAUACCGCAUAAUAGCAGUUGUUGCAUGACAACUGUUUGAAAGGUGCAAUUGCACCACUACCAGAUGGACCUGCGUUGUAUUAGCUAGUUGGUGGGGUAACGGCUCACCAAGGCGACGAUACAUAGCCGACCUGAGAGGGUGAGCGGCCACGCUGGGAGGGAGACACGGCCCAGAAGACUACGGGAGGCAGCAGUAGGGGAUCGUCGGGAAUGGACGGAAGGCGGACCGAGCAACGCCGCGUGAGUGAAGAAGGUUGUCGGAUCGUAAAGGUCGGUUGUAAGAGAAGAACGAGUGUGAGAGUGGAAAGUUCACACUGUGACGGUAUCUGACCAGAAAGGGACGGCUAACUACGUG